rnacentral:rRNA from 1 species
AGUGGCGAACGGGUGAGUAACACGUGGGCAAUCUGCCCUGCACUCUGGGACAAGCCCUGGAAACGGGGUCUAAUACCGGAUACUGACCCUCGCAGGCAUCUGCGAGGUUCGAAAGCUCCGGCGGUGCAGGAUGAGCCCGCGGCCUAUCAGCUUGUUGGUGAGGUAAUGGCUCACCAAGGCGACGACGGGUAGCCGGCCUGAGAGGGCGACCGGCCACACUGGGACUGAGACACGGCCCAGACUCCUACGGGAGGCAGCAGUGGGGAAUAUUGCACAAUGGGCGAAAGCCUGAUGCAGCGACGCCGCGUGAGGGAUGACGGCCUUCGGGUUGUAAACCUCUUUCAGCAGGGAAGAAGCGAAAGUGACGGUACCUGCAGAAGAAGCGCCGGCUAACUACGUGCCAGCAGCCGCGGUAAUACGUAGGGCGCAAGCGUUGUCCGGAAUU